GGCGUCGUGGCUUAGUUGGUUAAAGCGCCUGUCUAGUAAAUAGGAUAUCGUGGGUUCGAAUCCCACCGAUGCCU
rnacentral:tRNA from 1 species